ensembl:snRNA U6 U6 spliceosomal RNA
GUGCUCGCUUCUGCAGCACAUAUACUAAAAUUGGAAUGACACAUAGAAGAUUAGCAUGGCCCCUGUGCAAGGAUGACAUGCAAAUUCGAGAAGCGUUCCAUAUUUUU